rnacentral:rRNA from 1 species
AUGGAUGACUUCAUCUUCAUGGUCUACCAUCCUUUUCAAAACAGCUGCUUUGUUACUGUUCUCAGACCCCACUGCUUGGGCACUAUUCUCAGAUCCCUUGUUGCAUUCUUUCAUGUAAUUUUCCCCAUGACAGAGAGGGCAUAUGGAUUCCCAAGAGCCCACCACCAUCUCACUUUAGGGUGCCCAGUGGCCAGAAUUGGAAAAGGAUUAGUACUCUGGUCAUGCCCAUCUGCAAUUAUUAAAUUGCAUUAUCCUUUGUUAUUUUAUAAAUCAUUGGUGCGCGGUGGUGUGACGAAGGCCGAAGACACGAUUAGUAUUGUUUUGAAAUGUAUCUGGAAGGUCAGCCCUUUGAUCUUCUGGUCAUAUAAGGGUGAUGUGUAUUGGUUUGUCAUCAAUGAAUUAUUCAAGUUAAGGCACCUAGAUCACUUGCAUAAUGUUAGAUUACAACCCCAUUGGAAAUUAACUGGACCAUGGGCUUCACCUUGCCACAUGACUAUACCUUGA